rnacentral:rRNA from 1 species
UACGUAGGGGCAAGCGUUGUCCGGAUUUAUUGGGCGUAAAGGGUAGGUAGGUGGUCUCAUUUGUCUGGGGUGAAAGCCUUGAGCUUAACUCAAGAAGUGCCCAGAAACGGUGAGACUGGAGUCCUGGAGAGGGUCGUGGAAUUCCCGGUGUAGCGGUGAAAUGCGUAGAUAUCAGGAGGAACACCGAUGGCGAAGGCAGGUCUCUGGGCUGACACUGACGCUCAUGCACGAAAGCGUGGGAGCAAACAGG